GACGAACGCUGGCGGCUUGCUUAACACAUGCAAGUCGAACGAGUGGCGAACGGGUGCGUAACACGUGGGUGAUCUGCCUUGCACUUCGGGGUAAGCUUGGGAAACUGGGUCUAAUACCGGAUAUUGCAAGAUGAGCUCGCGGCCUAUCAGCUUGUUGUGGGGGUAAUGGCUACCAAUGCGCGACGGGUAGCCGGCCUGAGAGGGUGUACGGCGACAUUGGGACUGAGAUACUGCCCAGACUCUUACGGGAGGAAGCAGUGGGGAAGAUUGCACAAGGGACGAAAGCCUGAUGCGGCGACGCAGCGUGGGGGAUGAAGGCGUUCGGGUUGUAAACCUCUUUCGCUAUCGAACGGGUAGGUGGAGAAGAAGCGCCGGCUAACUACGUGCCAGCAGCCGCGGUAAUUC
rnacentral:rRNA from 1 species